UAACAGAGAAUUGUUUCACUUCUCCAACUUUCAACUUUCAGUACCAAAUCUACAUAUUGCACCUUUAAGACUUUAAUACCUGUUGUAUCAAAAUCUGUUUCAAACAGUAAGGAAGUUUUCCAGCUGUGUCGUAUUUUAUGACUUUUAAGGGCGUUUUCACAUCAGGCAUGAUUGUUUUGUACAGUACCCGAGCAGGAUUAUCCUCCCCUCCCCUCUCCCCCGAUGGUCCCCACAUUAGUAACAUUGUUCUGUGUAUCGCGGUCCACUUCCUUGAGCACGGUUGUGUUCACAUCUCACACGGACCAAGCGGACUCGGGCACGGUAGCUGAGUACAGUACGAGUACGCCUCAUGUGAAACGUCUCCUGAAAACAGCUCUGAGCUCGCUGAGAACUGAAUCCAGAGCCUACAUGAUGAACACACCACCCUGCACCCUGUGAGUUUCUCUCUACGGGACGUGGACCAUUCUCACUGUUAAAAACGCCGUUUUAAACGCCUUGUUAAAGAAGCUUCUUUGUUAAACUUGUGUGAGGUUGAAAUCAGUGUAAAUAUGUAGCUUUGUAGAGCUGAUCUCUCCAAACACUGAUGUGUUAAAUGAUUGUUCGGUUUGACCGUCUUCAUCUCUGCAGGUUUCUUGAAACAUUUUGCUCAGGAACAAUCAGAGUGAAGGUCGUCUGUGUGUGUUACUGGAGUCCACCUCUCUCACACUGCAGUCACCGUAACUCUCUGCAAGAUGAGCCAGAAUAAAAACAGACGAGUGGAGUUUCAUCUCAGUGGUGAACUGUCUUAAAUUUGUACCAAACACAGAUAAUAAUUCAAUCUGGUUCCUUCCACGUCUUUAAAAGGCCUCCCUAUGAUCACACACGUGAAAUAAAAUCAUCAGUUCAAGAUUCAUCUUCCAGUUGUGUAAAUAGUCUGCUUGUACAUUUUGUAUACAUUUUGUUUUUAUUACUAACAAACCAAAGCAAAUAA